GACGAACGCUGGCGGCGUGCUUAACACAUGCAAGUCGAACGGAAAGGCCCUGCUUUUGUGGGGUGCUCGAGUGGCGAACGGGUGAGUAACACGUGAGUAACCUGCCCUUGACUUUGGGAUAACUUCAGGAAACUGGGGCUAAUACCGGAUAGGAGCUCCUGCUGCAUGGUGGGGGUUGGAAAGUUUCGGCGGUUGGGGAUGGACUCGCGGCUUAUCAGCAUGUUGGUGGGGUAGUGGCUUACCAAGGCUUUGACGGGUAGCCGGCCUGAGAGGGUGACCGGCCACAUUGGGACUGAGCUACGGCCCAGACUCCUACGGGAGGCAGCAGUGGGGAAUAUUGCACAAUGGGCGGAAGCCUGAUGCAGCAACGCCGCGUGCGGGAUGACGGCCUUCGGGUUGUAAACCGCUUUCGCCUGUGACGAAGCGUGAGUGACGGUAAUGGGUAAAGAAGCACCGGCUAACUACGUG
rnacentral:rRNA from 1 species